GAGUCCCACUUCCCAUUCCUGAAGAGAACUCUCAGGAUUCAUGUGUCCAAGUGACACAGUGAAAUUCAGAUGAGGGAGAAUCCUCUCUCUCCUGUAAAUAGCAUUAAUGCUGCAUUGCUGAACCCAGCGUCACCACCUUGGCAACGGAUAUGGUCCUUGCCUUUGCAUGUAGACUGAGGAUCUUUCUCCUUUUGUUGCCCCACCUCCAGGGUAAUCCAUUCUUCCCACCACCAAGGAAAAAAGAACAACUCAGAAAGCUUUGGGCAAUUGCCUGAAGAAUCUGAUGGAGAUUCAGAAUCUAAUUUUACUUCUGCAAAGUCUCCUAGGGAAGCUCUAGGACAAGGACAGUUCUCCUCUACUGCUACAUGAAGAUACUCCAUGAGAGGAAUUCAUGCAAGGGCCUGCUGGUGUUCAAGAGCUACCCCAUCAACAUUUGGAAGAUCCUUCUACCAUCAUACCCCCAUUAGUUUCUCUAGCUCCUCUGACCAAACACCCUCUGCCUUGGGCCUCAUACUUAUCAAAGAACAUGAAGACAAGUCUGACUUGAAUAGAAUCACACUGGACAUUGUUCCUCAGAGCUCCCUUGUAAGUCAUGCAUACUGGGCAUCCCUGAUCACCGCCAUCUCAGGCCUAGACUGCAUAAGCUAUUCAAUUUCAUUACUCUCCUGGUGGUAGACAACUGCCAAGCUCUUAUAUUUCUCUACCUGGGUAUAUGGCAAAUCCAAACAAGAACAUCUUUUCCACCAUCCAUCAGACCCCACACUCUGUGUAAACCCCACAAGUUGGCAGGUAGAGUCUGGAGGCCUCUGUAUCAUCAAUUCUGGUGUCAGAUGCUGCUGAAAAAUGGUAAUCACCAAAAGAGUGGAACGUAAAGUGUGGAAAAAAUCCUAAAAAUGGGUCCUCUUUCAAAAAAAAUGAGUCCAGAUUGCACCAUGUAUUCUCUAGGAAAUAUGUUAGAGUCACUGAGUAAUAAGAGAGAAACCAAUGUUUAAACUUUCAGAAACACAAAAGAAAAACCAGAACAGCUUCAUGACUCUCAGAAUUUCUCUUACCACAAGGCCUUGGUGGGAAGGGGGAUUUAGAGCAAAAAUAUAGCCAGCUGUUCUGGGGUCUGACCUCUCUGCACUGUGAAUCCCUGGUGGCUACUGCCUGGGUCUCUAAGAGGUUUUCUAUUGCACAAUGUAAACAUGUAACAUUCAACAAACUCUUGGAAUCUCUCUCAGUUCAAUAUCAGGAUGAAGAACCUCCACAGCUUUCUCAGAAGGAGCCCUGAUCCCAACUUUUGGCACAAAACUGGUUCCCAUCUGUGGCUCAGAGUCAGACCCUGUAUAGCACUUUAUACACUUUUCUAAACCUACCCCCUUCUUUAUCCCAGAUUAAGUCUGACACAAAAAAGUAGCACUAAAUCUGAAAAGGAGGCAUAGUCUUUCAUCCCUACUGAAGAUCAAUAUUCAGAAUGUGCCUUGCAGAACCCACUGAAAUGGAAGAAGAACUUUUUCUCUGAGAUCCAAAAGACUCUGGAAGUCAUUAACCAGACAGCUCUCAACAUUCCCCAGGGAAGAUGGGACUCCCAAAUUUCUAACUCUGUCUCCAUUGUUUCUGGGGAUUCUGCCAGUCAGGAGCUAGAGAACAGAUUCAAACAAUAUAUCCAAGGGGAGUUAAUCAGUGAUUAACAACAGCUCAGACCUCUCUGUAGAUUUCUACCAUCUCAGAACAGAUGCAGCCUCAGGAUCAAUUUCCAGGGAAGAGUCAGUGACAGAAAAAUGACAAUCCUGGCCCCUUGCAGCCCAGGCAGUAAGCAAUUGAUGGUAAGGGUUUGCAGAAGAUGGAGUCCAAGCCCAAUGAAAGACUCUCUACAAUGGGCUCUUUAACACACAAUAUAGAUUUCCCAAACAAAGGUCUAGAGCCAGAACUGCAGAGGCAGCCAAUUCACUUAUCCUGGAUUUCAGGAGCACCUCAGGGAAGGUUUAGAAUGACAAUAAGGAGGUUUCAAAACACACUUGAGGAGGAACAGGAAGGGUAUUUCAGAAAAAUGACUUAUCUACAGGCCCAGAGCAAAAAAUGUGGAAAAAAUCCUGGAAGACCAUCUGUGCAGAAAGUUAGUGAAGAUAAAGAAGGGCAUGAUCCCUCUGUGUGUGCAUGAAUACUGGCUUGCUGCCAACUGUGCUUAUCCAAAGUCCUACAUGCCACAAUCCGCAUCCAUCCAGCCUCCUCCAAGAAUCAGCAAUCUUAUGUGAACACCUUUAAGGAGCUUUCUUUCCUUGAACUUCCAGGAACUCACCUGAAGCUAGAAACAGAUAGUAUGAGGUCUUGGAUGAAGCACAGGUGGAGUCCAUCUCUCCAGGAUCUUGAUCCCAUUAAUUGCAAGUUAGGUGAAGCUCUAACGUAACCCCAUACACAGCCUGUUUUUACCUCCUCAGCCUCCCUUGACUAAGAGGCCAUUUCCAUUGCCACGUUUGCAAGUCUCCUGGAAGAAAUUCCUCAGAAAGGUCUGGGAAAGAGGAUAAUAAGAAAAAUUCAUUUCCCAUUUUACAGAAUCCCCUUCCUGCUCUCUCAAAUUCAGAGGUACAGAGGACCUAGAGGAGGAACCCCAGUGGGUGGCAGUCAUAGGACCUCAGAGGCCUGCAUGCCUUCUCAUACCUAUAGCCUUAUGAUGAUGCAACAGCAGAGCAGAGUUAUUAGGAGGAUUGAAAAAUCUAGCCUGGAGUCCAGUCCAGGUCUGGAUAUGGCCAUGUAUGAGACACAGAGAGUACAGAUGUGGUCUCGGGAGAUCCAUGUCAUGGCAUGACAAUGCUGGAAAUUAAAGUAUGAUGCCAAUCAUCAACAGCUGCAAAGACUAAUGAGAGAGUGGUGGAGAAGAAGAAAUCCUCUGAAUGGGAAAUAAGAGUGGAAGACUCUAUUAUAGAAAACUCCCAAAUCAACAAUGUGAAUCUGAAAAACUUGGGUCUCUGGGAAAGAGAGAAAGCCCCUACCCUUCUAGAAUUUCUAUUUCAUAGGAUCCAGGAGACAGAAAUUUGGAAGCAAAUGUAGGUAGUGAUGUUCAGCUCAAAGUGGGGUUUGAGUCAGAGAAGCAGUCCCAAGACCAGGUCACUAGAGUCCUGAAAGAUUGCCACACUAAUGAACUCUCCACCUCAGAUAUCUCGCCUUCUCAGGCAUCCCUGCCAAGGCCCAGACCUUUUCUAGGAUUAACAAGUCAACUUCCCAAGGUCUAUGUGAUGAUCUAAUGAAGGGAGGGAGUAGCCAGGGGCAAGAGAUAUCCAAAGUCACAAAUGUCGUGGUUCCAGGAGAGGAUGAGAAUGAAAUACUCUGUCUAAAUGAAAUCAAAGACAGCUUUGGGAGGUACAGAACAGGAGAGGAGGAAGAAAGUUCCCAAGACUGUAGCUUGAGCCCUCCUGACAAAGUCAAGAAAAUAGACACAAUUUCAAGCAAGUCCUUUCCUUGCCUUACUGAGAAGGGACAGUGUCCUCCGGAAAACUAGGUGAAGAACAAAAUGAAGAAUUUUCUGCAGUCUUUUAACAUUCAUAAAAAAAGGAAAGGGGAAGGAAAAUUCCAUGAAUAAAGUCAAGCUCCUGACAGCUACCCAGAAAUACCCAGAAAUCAGCUACAAGCCAAAUAUCCAAGGACAUUGGGGUGGUUGAACCCCAGGCCCUCAUGACUGUUAUUGGAUGGAUUCUGAUGGAUAAGCUGAACUUCAACAUAGAAGUAGUCCAACAGAGUUAUAUGGGCAUAAAGAGAACCCCAUACACUAUCGGGUAGGCAAUUCUGUCAAGCCAGGGGUUCUUCCUAUCCCAGAGUAAAGGCAAAUGAUUAUAGAGAUUGCCUCUCAUCCCCAAGCCAGUCCCAAGGGCCACAUUGCCAAGAACAAUUGGAACAGAGACAGUAAUUGGACCUGGAAGCCUAGGAAUCCUGAGUCCCCAUCCACCUCCUUCCAGCAUAAACCUGAAAGAACGAUCAAGGCUUGCCGUAGGAGAAAUGCCCAUUUAUUGAGGAACAGCUCUGCAUAUUUAUAGAGCCAGGGGCAGGGAGUGCUUUUUGAUUGGUGGGCAAGGAUCAGGUUAGCCAGCAAGGCUAGUCUGAUUGGUGGGUAAUGAUCAGGUGAGCCAGCAG